UAUGUUGACAAAAUGUUUAAUAUCUGUACAAUAAUAGCACCAGGGCUUUAUACUUUUGUUCAACACUGUGUGGUGUCUUUAUUUUUACAGAAAUAAAAACAGCAACUGAUAUGUUUUGUUGGUUAUCGUCUGGCUCAUUUAAAGACAAUGGAAAAAUUUGAACAGAGAGAGAGAGA